rnacentral:rRNA from 1 species
ACUCGACCCCAUGAAGUCGGAGUCGCUAGUAAUCGCAGAUCAGCAACGCUGCGGUGAAUACGUUCCCGGGCCUUGUACACACCGCCCGUCACGUCACGAAAGUCGGCAACACCCGAAGCCCAUGGCCCAACCGGUCUGACCGGAGGGAGUGGUCGAAGGUGGGGCUGGCGAUUGGGACGAAGUCGUAACAAGGUAGCCGUACCGGAAGGUGCGGCUGGAUCACCUCCUUUCUAAGGA